CGAGUACUCGUGGCAAGAACGUGGUUUCGGGUUGAUUUUGAGCCGAUUCGAGAUCCAGGUACUUCGACUCAGUCCUACCACCCUUGAGGCGAGACAAUUUUCCCAGAGACUUCGAGGUAUAUCUGCCGCGUCCGCAGACCGAGGAGUCCCUUUCUAUUCUCUCUUUAAGUAUUAGCCCUUCUGUAUUUUUCUUUUGUUAGACAAUCUGGAGUUAGAUACUUGUAGACAUUCAAAACCUUGUGAUUUCAUGAGAUUCCGGGUUUUAGGAAAUGUUGUUUCAGUUUCGAGAGUUUGUAUUGUAUAUGCCGAGCGACAUCUUAAACGCUUCGUUAUGUUAUUUCUGUAGUUUAUGGUUAGUUUUAUUCUGUUA